AUUUAGAUAGUUUAAAUUUAAAAUUUUAAUUUGUGGGAUUAAAGAUGUAUAAUUUACUCUAAAUA
rnacentral:tRNA from 1 species